AUAUAGGUAGUUUAUAAAAAUUUUAGUUUGUGGUUCUAAAGAUGCCGAUUGCUGGGUAUUCGGUCCUAUAUA
rnacentral:tRNA from 1 species